UACGGGGGGGGCAAGCGUUGUUCGGAAUUACUGGGCGUAAAGGGCUCGUAGGCGGCCAACUAAGUCAGACGUGAAAUCCCUCGGCUUAACCGGGGAACUGCGUCUGAUACUGGAUGGCUUGAGUUUGGGAGAGGGAUGCGGAAUUCCAGGUGUAGCGGUGAAAUGCGUAGAUAUCUGGAGGAACACCGGUGGCGAAGGCGGCAUCCUGGACCAACGCUGACGCUGAGUGAGCGAAAGCCAGGGGAGCAAACGGG
rnacentral:rRNA from 1 species